GAUGAACGCUAGCGGCAGGCUUAAUACAUGCAAGUCGAGGGACAGCACAGGUAGCAAUACUGGGUGGUAACCGGCAAACGGGUGCGGAACACGUACACAACCUUCCUUUAAGUGGGGGAUAGCCCAGAGAAACUUGGAUUAAUGCCCCGUAAUAUAGUUGAAUGGCAUCAUUUGAUUAUUAUAGCUACGGCGCUUAAUGAUGGGUGUGCGGCUGAUUAGAUAGUUGGCGGGGUAACGGUCCACCAAGUCUACGAUCAGUAGCUGAUGUGAGAGCAUGAUCAGCCACACGGGCACUGAGACACGGGCCCGACUCCUACGGGAGGCAGCAGUAAGGAAUAUUGGUCAAUGGACGCAAGUCUGAACCAGCCAUGCCGCGUGAAGGAUUAAGGUCCUCUGGAUUGUAAACUUCUUUUAUUUGGGACGAAAAAGGGCCUUUCUAGGUCAACUGACGGUACCAGAUGAAUAAGCACCGGCUAACUCCGUGCCAGCAGCCGCAGUAAAAC
rnacentral:rRNA from 1 species